UGACCAGCCUGAGAGAAAGCUACGGUGCCAGGCACAGCCCUGGGAACGCGUGGUGCCUCGUGACGUCAUCACAGACAGUGAAAAGCUGUUCAAGGUAAUGGCGGACGGACCGAUGCCUGCUUGGGAAGGGAAAUGCCUCGACCGGCUUCCGCUUUCCUGUUAGCUCUGGGAGGUAGCUGCAGUCUGGCGCUUGGCUAACGUGUGAGCUCUGACUUCCGGUGCUGGCGCUGAAAUGGUAGAUAGAAGAUCAGGCAGCUGUGUUGGUGUUAGCCUGUCAGGAGGCUGAGAUCCAUGGUUCAAUGCGAGUCACGUCGCACACGGUCAGCAUGCAAGAUGGCUCAGCAGGUAACACCACGUGCCACCAAGCCUGAGGACCCGAGUUCCACCUCCAGGAGCCACGUGGUGAAAGAAAGUUCUAAGACCCACAAGUUGUCCUCUGACCUCCACAAGUGCACUGUGGCACGUGAAUGAGUCCUGUCUCCACGCCUGCCUCUACCGAAAAGAUUAAAUUCAAAAAUAAAGAUGUAAAUACAGAAAUUCACUCUAUACAAGUAUGGGUCAAAGUUCAUCUUCAGACAGGAGGCCUUGUUCUAGAGCCCCUUGCUGCAGGGCCUGAUCCCUGCCCUCCCCGUCCUUGUUCUACUGAAAGUCAAUGCGUGGCUCUAACUCUGAACUCGCAGCUUCCUUUUGACCCACAUCUGUUUAUCUCACCAAUACCACACAAGCACUGCUGCUUUUGCUGGAAAUUAGGAGGAGGGAGUCCUUCCACGCUGCCCUUUUUCAAGAUUGCCUGGCUUGGUUCUUUUCUAUAGAAAGUUUAGAUCGGUUUUUUGGCUUGCUUCUUUAAAAUUAUGCACAC
rnacentral:sRNA from 1 species